GAUGAACGCUAGCGGCAGGCUUAACACAUGCAAGUCGAACGGCAGCACGGGAGCAAUCCUGGUGGCGAGUGGCGAACGGGUGAGUAAUAUAUCGGAACGUGCCCAGUCGUGGGGAUAACGUAGCGAAAGCUACGCUAAUACCGCAUACGAUCUAUGGAUGAAAGCGGGGGAUCGCAAGACCUCGCGCGAUUGGAGCGGCCGAUAUCAGAUUAGGUAGUUGGUGAGGUAAAGGCUCACCAAGCCGACGAUCUGUAGCUGGUCUGAGAGGACGACCAGCCACACUGGGACUGAGACACGGCCCAGACUCCUACGGGAGGCAGCAGUGGGGAAUUUUGGACAAUGGGCGCAAGCCUGAUCCAGCAAUGCCGCGUGCAGGA
rnacentral:rRNA from 1 species